CUUGGUUUUCACCUUGAUCCAAAAUUAACCUGGAACCCCCACAUUGAAGUCAUCUGCAAGAAACUAUCACGGGUGAUUUUCUUAUUAAGGCAGCUUAUGCUCAUUGUGCCAAAGAACUAUGUCAAGACAGCCUAUUUCUCAUUCUUCCAAGGAAUCAUGUUGUAUGGCCUUGAACAUUGGGGUGCAGCUAGUGGAGUUAAUA